GUGGAGGUGGCUGAGUGGUUAAGGCGUCAGACUUAAAAUCUGAUGGGGUUCUCCCCUCGCAGGUUCGAAUCCUGCCCUCUGCG